rnacentral:rRNA from 1 species
AUUGAACGCUGGCGGCAUGCCUUACACAUGCAAGUCGAACGGUAACAGGUUAAGCUGACGAGUGGCGAACGGGUGAGUAAUGUAUCGGAACGUGCCCAGUCGUGGGGGAUAACUGCUCGAAAGAGCAGCUAAUACCGCAUACGACCUGAGGGUGAAAGCGGGGGAUCGCAAGACCUCGCGCGCUUGGAGCGGCCGAUAGCCGAUUAGGUAGUUGGUGGGGGAAAGGCCUACCAAGCCUACCAUCUGUAGAUGGUCUGAGAGGACGACCAGGCACACUGGGACUGAGAAACGGCCCAGACUCCUACGGGAGGCAGCAGUGGGGAAUUUUGGACAAUGGACGCAAGUCUGAUCCAGCCAUGCCGCGUGCGGGAAGAAGGCCUUCGGGUUGUAAACCGCUUUUGUCAGGGAAGAAAAGGUUCUGGCUAAUACCUGGGACUCAUGACGGUACCUGAAGAAUAAGCACCGGCUAACUAUGUGCCAGCCGCCGCCGUAAUAC